rnacentral:lncRNA from 1 species
AGGGAUUCACCCAAGUGGAGGGCCUUCAAGUCACCUUCAAGCUCCUUGAAUCCUCCUUGUGUUUUCCUCCCUUUAGUGCUCCUUUGAUUAUUUGAGGAAAAAGGAUUUGUUCUCCAAAACACCAAAAGCUUGAUGUCUCUAAGUCUCUUCACCAAGGUUGUAUCUUGUGAAGAUGAAUUGGAUGACUAAGGGAAGAAGAGAUUGCUAGAUGUCCCUCCCUUUAGUGGCCGACCUCCUUAGAAGAAAAUGGAGAAAAUGUUUCACCCAAUUUCAACAAGAAAAAAACCCUAAUUAGAAAAUAGCUAUAAAGUUGCUUUUAUAACCUUUUCUUUGGUGAGUGGCAAACUUGUAAUAAAGCAAACUUUGCCCAUUCACCCUAAUGGCCGGCCCUCCUUGGUGUUAUUGGGCUAUUUGCCCAUUUUGUUUUAGUUGUCAUACAACUUGAACAUAAUGGGCCUUUUGGACCAAAACGCUUUUGGGCCCCGAAACCCAAAACCAACAUAUAAGCCCAAUACGA